UACAGAGGUCCCAAGCGUUGUUCGGAUUCACUGGGCGUAAAGGGUGCGUAGGCGGUCGGGUAAGUCUGGUGUGAAAGCUCGGAGCUCAACUCCGAAAUGGCAUUGGAAACUACCUAACUUGAGGUUGGGAAGGGAGACUGGAAUACUUGGUGUAGCAGUGAAAUGCGUAGAUAUCAAGUGGAACAUCAGUGGCGAAGGCGAGUCUCUGGACCAAUCCUGACGCUGAGGCACGAAAGCCAGGGGAGCAAACGGG
rnacentral:rRNA from 1 species